GUAGAUUCACCAGACCAGAGUACUUGGGUAGCAGUGCCAAGAUCAAGCACAGUGAUUGCCAUAAGUAACAGGAGUUCACGAAUCAGCUCACCAUGAAGAAACUGCCCAUUGUAGACUGUUCCUAUCUCAAAAUUUGAACACUCAGCCAAGCUGCAGCGGACAAUCACCACGUACAUGUUCCUUGCCCUGGAGCUGGACAUGACCCCUUUCAUGGCCUCCAGGUUAGCAAAGAGAGCGGGAUGAAUGGACAGUCCCAGCAGCCCAUGGACAGUCUCAAUAACAACAAG
rnacentral:lncRNA from 1 species